rnacentral:rRNA from 1 species
UACGAAGGGAGCUAGCGUUGUUCGGAGUCACUGGGCGUAAAGCGCACGUAGGCGGGUUUGUCAGUCAGGGGUGAAAUCCCGGAGCUCAACUCCGGAACUGCCCUUGAUACAGCAAGCCUUGAGUCCGGAAGAGGUAGGUGGAAUUCCUAGUGUAGAGGUGAAAUUCGUAGAUAUUAGGAAGAACACCAGUGGCGAAGGCGGCCUACUGGUCCGGCACUGACGCUGAGGUGCGAAAGCGUGGGGAGCAAACAGG